rnacentral:rRNA from 1 species
UACGAAGGGUGCUAGCGUUGUUCGGAAUCACUGGGCGUAAAGCGUGCGUAGGCGGCUUAACAAGUCAGGGGUGAAAUGCCAAGGCUUAACCUUGGAACUGCCUUUGAAACUGUUGAGCUGGAGUGUCGGAGGGGAUAGCGGAAUUUCUAAUGUAGCGGUGAAAUGCGUAGAUAUUAGAAGGAACACCGGUGGCGAAGGCGGCUAUCUGGACGACAACUGACGCUGAGGCACGAAAGCGUGGGGAUCAAACAGG